rnacentral:rRNA from 1 species
CGGCGAGUGAAGUGGGAAGAGCUCAUGUUUGAAAUCCAGCUCCCCGCGGGGCUGGAGUUGUAACCUAGAGGAGCGUGAUCGCCUGCCGGCAGGGCCGCGGCCAAGUCCGAUUUGAAAAGGGUACCGAGGAGGGUGGCAGUCCCGUUCGUGCCGCAGUCCCGCCGGCGAUGUGGCCCGCUUCCAACGAGUCGAGUUGCUUGGGAUUGCAGCUCAAAGUGGGUGGUAAACUCCAUCCAAAGCUAAACACGGGUGGGAGACCGAUAGCGAACAAGUACCGUGAGGGAAAGAUGCAAAGAACUUUGAAAAGAGAGUCAAAGAGUGCCUGAAAUUGCUGAGAGGGAAGCGAAGGAAAGUAGUGUCAGUCGAGGGGACCUCGCACACUUGGGGAGCGACGUUCCGCGGCGUUCCCCAGGUUAUGUCCCCCGCGGUGUCAGGGGCGGGUGCGUUGCCGGAGGCGGCGGCCCAGGGUAUAGGUUCUCCGAGGUAAGAGCCGGAGGAAUGCUGCAA